CUAAGACGAGGAUAACGACUGGAAACGGUCGCUAAAACUGGAUAGGAUCAUUUGAGGCAUCUCGAAUGAUUUAAACGGGGCUUUCAAGCCACACUUAGAGAAAGGCCUGCGGCGCAUUAGCUAGUUGGUGGGUAGAGGGCCUACCAAGGCGAUGGAUGCGUAGCCGGACUGAGAGGUCGAACGGCCACAUUGGGACUGAGACACGGCCCAAACUCCUACGGGAGGCAGCAGUAGGGAAUUUUCGGCAAUGGGGGAAACCCUGACCGAGCAACGCCGCGUGAAUGAAAGACGUAUUUCGGUAUGUAAAGUUCUUUUAUUAAGGAAGAAUAUCACGGAUAGGAAAUGAUCUGUGAGUGACGGUACUUAAUGAAUAAGCCCCGGCUAACUAUGUGCCAGCCGCCGC
rnacentral:rRNA from 1 species